rfam:Chryseobacterium arachidis strain DSM 27619 genome assembly, contig: Ga0131169_105
UAACCAUGGAGACCAGAAACCAUUAAAAACGGGGCGAAAUCCGAAAAGCCACAAGAGUAGGAACCCA